AUUGAACGCUGGCGGUAGGCCUAACACAUGCAAGUCGAACGCGAGAGUCCUUCGGGAUGAGUAGAGUGGCGGACGGGUGAGUAACGCGUAGGAAUCUAUCCUGUAGUGGGGGAUAACGUUUCGAAAGGAACGCUAAUACCGCAUACGCCCCAAGGGGGAAAGCGGGGGAUCUUCGGACCUCGUGCUAUAGGAGGAGCCUGCGUCGGAUUAGCUAGUUGGUGAGGUAAAGCCUCACCAAGGCGACGAUCCGUAGCUGGUCUGAGAGGAUGAUCAGCCACACCGGAACUGAGACACGGUCCGGACUCCUACGGGAGGCAGCAGUGGGGAAUAUUGCGCAAUGGGCGAAAGCCUGACGCAGCCAUACCGCGUGUGUGAAGAAGGCCUUCGGGUUGUAAAGCACUUUCAGUGGGGAGGAAAAGCUGGUGGCUAAUAUCCAUCGGCCGUGACGCUACCCACAGAAGAAGCACCGGCUAAUUCCGUGCCAGCAGCCGCAGUAACAC
rnacentral:rRNA from 1 species